GAAUGUUUUGGAGCGGGAACUCACUUACCUGACUGAGCUUCAUCAGAGGGAAACAUCAAACUUGAAAGAGGAGAUAAGCAGCACAAAGGAUAUCAUUGACUUUCGGUAUAAUGGCAGAGCACAGGAGUUUUCUGUGGCGUUGGACAAAUGCCAGAGCCAUCUCCUGAAGAUGGAGCUGCAGCAUCAGCAAGAGUUGGAUAUUGAGAGACACGAAGACCACACAGCACGUCUCAUCAUCGAAAAGCUGAUCAAAGCGCUGCUUGUUGUGAUGUCGACCAUCUUGGUGUUUGUGUGCACACUGAACCAAGUCAUCUUGUUUUUCAAGUCAUCCAGACACAUCCUCUAUGCUGGGCUCCUGGCUGUCUUCAUAUUUCUCCUCUUCAAGUACUGGAAUACCAGUACUCCAGUUAGCUGACUGGAGUCCAAUGAGACGCAAAAAAUAAACCCUUUUGAAGGCA